UACGUAGGGUGCGAGCGUUAAUCGGAAUUACUGGGCGUAAAGCGUGCGUAGGCGGUUCUCCAAGUCCGUUGUGAAAUCCCCGGGCUUAACCUGGGAAUGGCAGUGGAAACUAGGGGACUUGAAUUUGGCAGAGGGGGGUGGAAUUCCACGUGUAGCAGUGAAAUGCGUAGAGAUGUGGAGGAACACCGAUGGCGAAGGCAGCCCCCUGGGCUGAGAUUGACGCUGAGUGCACGAGAGCGUGGGGAGCAAACAGG
rnacentral:rRNA from 1 species